rnacentral:rRNA from 1 species
CAGCAGCCGCGGUAAUACGUAGGUGGCAAGCGUUGUCCGGAAUUAUUGGGCGUAAAGGGCUCGCAGGCGGUUUCUUAAGUCUGAUGUGAAAGCCCCCGGCUCAACCGGGGAGGGUCAUUGGAAACUGGGAAGCUUGAGUGCAGAAGAGGAGAGGGAAUUCCACGUGUAGCGGUGAAAUGCGUAGAGAUGUGGAGGAACACCAGUGGCGAAGGCGACUCUCUGGUCUGUAACUGACGCUGAGGAGCGAAAGCGUGGGGAGCGAACAGGAUUAGAUACCCCCGUAGUCCCUGUCUCUUAUACA